AGAUUCUUCAGUGACUCUGUCUUUAGGGACAAGCAGCCUACGGAGCCCAGAGGGGACAAUGGAGUGACUAUCAGCCACCUAGAACCAGAUGUUGGAGUAGGACAUUGGGUCCACAUGGUGUCAGGAGUUCACGGAGCACAUGGCCACUGCCUUCCUGGUGAAGAACGGGGAAGCAAUAACAAGACAGACCAUGUCUGAGAGACAGAAGUACAGAGGGAAUCAAUUAUCUUGGAUCCCAAAAGAUCUCACCUGAAAGGUCCAUCCACACAGGACUUCCAG